UACGUAGGUGGCAAGCGUUGUCCGGAUUUACUGGGCGUAAAGAGCGCGCAGGCGGUCGUUCAAGUCGCGUGUGAAAGCCCCCGGCUCAACUGGGGAGGGUCACGCGAUACUGAUCGACUCGAAGGCAGGAGAGGGUAGUGGAAUUCCCAGUGUAGAGGUGAAAUUCGUAGAUAUUGGGAGGAACACCGGUGGCGAAGGCGACCGCCUGGACGAUGACUGACGCUGAGGCGCGAGAGCGUGGGGAGCAAACAGG
rnacentral:rRNA from 1 species